CUCUCACUGAGUUAAUUCAAGACAAAGCUCUCCUUUGUAAACCAGACCCUUUCCAUUCAGUCUAUCACAGUGUGGCUCACUUGGCACCCCUUUUCAGCCCGGCUCUCCUCUUCAGUUCUCACUGUGGCUUUUUUGUUCUUAAUUCCUUUUCAUGGCCCGGCAAAAACGGAGUUAAUUAUAUUAAAGACCUGACUUCCCUGUCUAGCUCCUUAACUCCAGGUCAGCAGAUAAUUGAGAGUCAUUGCCCUGAUACUGAAUGAAGAGAUAAAGUUCCCAGGUUUAUUUCAAGUGACUUAUCUGAAGAUGAGGAAAGAGCAAGAGGUUACUAAAAAACAUAUCUGUGAAUUGUUGACAGAGACGGUCACUUCUGCAGAAACUCCAGAUGCCCUUGCCAAGUCCAGGUACAGGUCUAAACUAGCAAACCAAAUGCAUUUUCUAGGUUUAAAGUAAAGGUGGGUACUGAUCUCCAGGAUGACAUGCGAAGAUGCCAAAUCAUCCGAGACAUGAUUGGACCGGAAAAGACUUUGAGUCUCUUUUUGCAGAUGAUGGAUGCCAACCAGCGCUGGGAUGUGCCUGAGGCAGUGGAGUGGAUGUCCAAGCUGGCCAAGUUCAAGCCAUUGUGGAUUGAGGAGCCAACCUCCCCUGAUGACAUUCUGGGGCACGCCACCAUUUCCAAGGUAGGAAAACGGCUGCUGCUGUGGCA
rnacentral:sRNA from 1 species